CCUACGGGAGGCAGCAGUGGGGAAUAUUGCACAAUGGGGGAAACCCUGAUGCAGCGACGCCGCGUGAGUGAAGAAGUAUUUCGGUACGUAAAGCUCUAUCAGCAGUGAAGAAAAUGACGGUAACUCACUACCACGCCCCGGCUACCUCCGUCCAAGCAGCCGCGGUAAUACGUAGGGGGCAAGCGUUAUCCGGAUUUACUGGGUGUAAAGGGAGCGUAGACGGCAGCGCAAGUCUGGAGUGAAAUCCCAUGGCUUAACCAUGGAACUGCUUUGGAAACUGUGCAGCUAGAGUGCAGGAGAGGUAAGCGGAAUUCCUAGUGUAGCGGUGAAAUGCGUAGAUAUUAGGAGGAACACCAGUGGCGAAGGCGGCUUACUGGACUGUAACUGACGUUGAGGCUCGAAAGCGUGGGGAGCAAACAGGAUUAGAUACCCGAGUAGUC
rnacentral:rRNA from 1 species